rnacentral:lncRNA from 1 species
AUGAGCCUCCGAAAUCAGACUGGUGCAACAGAGAUUUCCUUCUUAACGAACGCGAGGGGAUCCUCACGAAAGUGAAGAAAAACACCAGACACCAGCAUCAGCUAUUGCAGAACAGCCCGAAAUGAUUCGAAACCACCACGAAAUACACUCAAGGCCCCGAGAGCGUCGUACAAAUGUACCAACAAGUCCCAUAACAUAACACGGACCUGCUAGAGGGCUCAAAUCACAUCAAACAAUACACUCCAACCCAAGCUUAAUGAACUUUAGAAUUACAAACUUCAAUAUUCGAUGCUGAAACCUAUCAAAUCAAGUCCGAUUGAUCUCAAAUUUUUCAUAGAAGUCAUAUUCGACACUAUAAACCUACUCUAACUUCCGGAAUCUGAAUCUGACCCCGAUAUCAAAAAGUCCAAUUUCGGUCAAAC